GAGAAAUUUAAUAUGGCUUUACAAAGGCUUAUGUCUCCUAAAAGUACUGAAAAUAAAACACUUCACAGACUUUACUGUAUUAAUUAAAUAUACACGCAUUCGUAUGAAGUAUAAAAAAUCUUUAGUCAAGAGCAGAGAGUGAUUUUAUUGAGAGAUGAAUUAGGUUACUGCAGCUUUAAGACGUGAGAGAGAGAUCGCUCUGUUCACGUGCACUGAUGACAGGCUGCUGUGUGUGGGCGGCGGCUGAACGCAGACAAGCAGCUGUGAGGAAAAUAAAAGUUUAAACGCUCAAAACUUUAAGACGCAUGCAAAUAAGAAACUUUUGGCAUGAGGAUGCAAUUGUCCGUGAUAGAUAUGUGUUGUAUACGCUGUUUGAUGGGGAUGUGAAGACGCCUCGCGCUGUUUACCGGAGCGCGUCCUCAUACGCAUAUCUCUGUAAAGGCAAAGAGAGACAUACAAAUCUGCACGCUGCACAUGAGCAACAGGUUGCAGCUGUGACUGACAUGGGGGGGGGACUGUUGACGAGGCCACAAAAAGAAUGAUGACCUUCCUUCUAGACCAUGGCCUAUCCAGGCAGUAUAAUUUUCUGGGCCGAAAUGGAAAGAGAGAGUUCAAGUCCUUAAAACUGUAUGAAGUUAUAUAUGCUUAAAGUGAAACACCAUGACCAGCCAAAUCACCCUUAAAGAUGCCGAGAAGGCGGUCUCCAAGUGGCUCAUUGGUGCUAGGGACCGGGGGGGGGGGGGGGGGGGGGGGGGUAAUAGACAGGCCCGACAGGCAACCCCUCAACAAGGACUUCAGGCUUCAGGCUCAUUUGAGGUGGAAAUAAACUAAUUCUGUCUGUGACUGUGAGGGAACAUUGCAAAAGCAUGUUGU